rnacentral:rRNA from 1 species
CUCCUACGGGAGGCAGCAGUGGGGAAUAUUGCACAAUGGGGGAAACCCUGAUGCAGCGACGCCGCGUGAAGGAAGAAGUAUCUCGGUAUGUAAACUUCUAUCAGCAGGGAAGAUAGUGACGGUACCUGACUAAGAAGCCCCGGCUAACUACGUGCCAGCAGCCGCGGUAAUACGUAGGGGGCAAGCGUUAUCCGGAUUUACUGGGUGUAAAGGGAGCGCAGGCGGGAGAACAAGUUGGAAGUGAAAUCCAUGGGCUCAACCCAUGAACUGCUUUCAAAACUGUUUUUCUUGAGUAGUGCAGAGGUAGGCGGAAUUCCCGGUGUAGCGGUGGAAUGCGUAGAUAUCGGGAGGAACACCAGUGGCGAAGGCGGCCUACUGGGCACCAACUGACGCUGAGGCUCGAAAGUGUGGGUAGCAAACAGGAUUAGAUACCCUGGUAGUCCACACCGUAAACGAUGAUUACUAGGUGUUGGAGGAUUGACCCCUUCAGUGCCGCAGUUAACACAAUAAGUAAUCCACCUGGGGAGUACGACCGCAAGGUUGAAACUCAAAGGAAUUGACGGGGGCCCGCACAAGCAGUGGAGUAUGUGGUUUAAUUCGACGCAACGCGAAGAACCUUACCAAGUCUUGACAUCCCUUGACGAACAUAGAAAUAUGUUUUCUCUUCGGAGCAAGGAGACAGGUGGUGCAUGGUUGUCGUCAGCUCGUGUCGUGAGAUGUUGGGUUAAGUCCCGCAACGAGCGCAACCCUUAUGGUCAGUUACUACGCAAGAGGACUCUGGCCAGACUGCCGUUGACAAAACGGAGGAAGGUGGGGAUGACGUCAAAUCAUCAUGCCCUUUAUGACUUGGGCUACACACGUACUACAAUGGCGUUAAACAAAGAGAAGCAAGACCGCGAGGUGGAGCAAAACUCAGAAACAACGUCCCAGUUCGGACUGCAGGCUGCAACUCGCCUGCACGAAGUCGGAAUUGCUAGUAAUCGUGGAUCAGCAUGCCACGGUGAAUACGUUCCCGGGCCUUGUACACACCGC